rnacentral:rRNA from 1 species
UACGGGGGGAGCAAGCGUUGUUCGGAUUUACUGGGCGUAAAGGGCGCGUAGGCGGUCGUGACAAGUCACUUGUGAAAUCUCCGGGCUUAACUCGGAACGGUCAAGUGAUACUGUCGGACUAGAGUACAGAAGGGGCAACUGGAAUUCUCGGUGUAGCGGUGAAAUGCGUAGAGAUCGGAAAGAACACCAACGGCGAAAGCACUCUGCUGGGCCGACACUGACACUGAGAGACGAAAGCUAGGGGAGCGAAUGGG